CGGUGUUCAACUGGCGUGUCCGCGGGACGUCCUGCCGGUGGGCUUAGCCCGCAAGGGCGGCCCAACUUCAAAUCCCAUCGCGGUGCUCUUCACUGAGUGUCGAGGUGGGCCGGCACGUUUACUUUGAACAAAUUAGAGUGCUUAAAGCAGGCUAAAACUUCGCCUGAAUACUGUGUGCAUGGAAUAAUGGAAUAGGACCUCGGUUCUAUUUUGUUGGUUUUCGGAACCCCGAGGUAAUGAUUAAUAGGAACGGAUGGGGGCAUUCGUAUUGCGACGUUAGAGGUGAAAUUCUUGGAUCGUCGCAAGACGGACAGAAGCGAAAGCAUUUACCAAAAACGCUUUCAUUGAUCAAGAACGAAAGUUAGAGGUUCGAAGGCGAUCAGAUACCGCCCUAGUUCUAACCAUAAACGAUGCCAGCUAGCGAUCCGUCGACGUUCCUCCGAUGACUCGACGGGCAGCUUCCGGGAAACCAAAGCUUUUGGGUUCCGGGGGAAGUAUGGUUGCAAAGCUGAAACUUAAAGGAAUUGACGGAAGGGCACCACCAGGAGUGGAGCCUGCGGCUUAAUUUGACUCAACACGGGAAACCUCACCAGGCCCGGACACCGGAAGGAUUGACAGAUUGAGAGCUCUUUCUUGAUUCGGUGGGUGGUGGUGCAUGGCCGUUCUUAGUUGGUGGAGCGAUUUGUCUGGUUAAUUCCGAUAACGAACGAGACUCUAGCCUGCUAACUAGGCGUAUUUUCGACAUCUCAAAGGUCCGUCGUCCCGGCCCUCGGGUCGUGGGCGUGCGCGAUUUUUACUGUCGGCGUACUAUCAAUUCUUCUUAGAGGGACAGGUGGCUUCUAGCCGCACGAGAUUGAGCAAUAACAGGUCUGUGAUG
rnacentral:rRNA from 1 species